GUACCGAUGAUGAGUCCCAAACGAGAACGAAACAGCUGUCCAGUAC
rfam:Trichobilharzia regenti genome assembly, scaffold: TRE_scaffold0000366